AUGUCUACAAGUACAAAACAGGCUGAUCGGGAGCUGAAAAAGUUCCACGAUGCACAAUGUGAAGCAUAUAGAGCAGCUGUCGCCAAUUCUCUUAAGGCAAUUUUUGCUGAGACAGUUCUCCAUACAUUUCUGUUUCCUAUUGAGCCAACAGCUGCGGACUUUCAAAGUUUGUACCAGUUGAGGGAUGUGAGAUAUGUCAACAAUUCUUCUAUGCUUCUUUCCGUUACAAAAGAGGAUGGCAAGUCUGAGACCAAGGUUCCAGUCACGCCAAAACACCACAAAGAGCUUGAGAAACAGUCGUUCCAUUCGAUAUCGAUCCAAUGUGGUGAUGGAGCAGUUAUGGAGAUAUUAAUACGUGAAAGCGAUAAUUAUGUUGUCGCGUUCCGCGUGUAUUUCUCCAUUCAAGCUAAGGAUAUAACCCCAUGGAGAACUUUCCGGGAGCCGGUGCCUAUUCGACUGGGAAAAUCAGACCCAACAAAAUACUCCUCUAGCCAUGUGAAACUUGGAAGGGUGCAAUUUGGUAAAGGAAUUCUCCUGAGAAUCUUCAAUUUUCUUAAGAUUUGCAGCUCCAUCCUGACCAAGAAAUCACAGAUGAAGGUCAGAGAUUAG
rnacentral:rRNA from 1 species